UCGCGAAACCUUUGCAAUAAGCGAAAGCUUGACAGGGCUAUCCCGAGUGCCAUCCGCUGAGGAAGGCUUUUACCCAGUCUAGAAAGCUGGGGGAAUAAGGAGAGGGCAAGUCUGGUGUCAGCCGCCGCGGUAAUACCAGCUCUUCGAGUGGUGUGGAUGUUUAUUGGGCCUAAAGCAUCCGUAGCUGGCUAGGUCAGUCCCUUGUUAAAUCCACCGAAUUAAUCGGUGGAUCGCGGGGGAUACUGCUUGGCUAGGGGACGAGAGAGGCAGACGGUAUUUUCGGGGUAGGGGUGAAAUCCUAUAAUCCCGGGAAGACCACCAGUGGCGAAGGCUGUCUGCUAGAACGCGCCCGACGGUGAGGGAUGAAAGCUGGGGGAGCGAACC
rnacentral:rRNA from 1 species